AAAAACAGAUAAGGGCAGACGGUGGAUGCCUUGGCUCUCGGAGGCGAAGAAGGACGUGAUAAGCUGCGAUAAGCUACGGGGAUUGGCACAUACAAAUUGAUCCGUAGAUUUCCGAAUGGGGCAACCCGGCAUGUAGAAGACAUGUCACACUGCAGAGCAGUGAGCGAACGUGGGGAACUGAAACAUCUAAGUACCCAUAGGAGAAGAAAACAAAAGUGAUUCCCUUAGUAGUGGCGAGCGAACGGGGAACAGCCCAAACCAAGUUUGUUUCGGCAAGACUGGGGUUGUAGGACCUCUAUAUAGGAAGACAAGAUUAGGAGAACGGUCUGGAAAGGCCGGCCAUAGAACAUGACAGCUGUGUAUCCGAAAAUCUUCGUUGGACUUAGAGGUAUCCUGAGUAGCGCGGGACACGUGAAAUCCUGUGUGAAUCUGCGGGGCCCAUCCCGUAAGGCUAAAUACUCCCGAGAGACCGAUAGUGAACCAGUACCGUGAGGGAAAGGUGAAAAGAACCUCGAAUAGAGGAGUGAAAUAGACCCUGAACCCGUCUGCCUACAAGCGGUCGGAGCAUCUUUAAGGUGUGACGGCGUGCCUUUUGCAUAAUGAACCUGCGAGUUGUUUUUUUUGGCAAGGUUAAGCAUCAGUAGGUGCGUAGCCGAAGCGAAAGCGAGUCUGAAUAGGGCGCCUAAGUCAAAAGGAGCAGACGCGAAACCAAGUGAUCUACCGAUGGCCAGGCUGAAGGUUGGGUAACACCAACUGGAGGGCCGAAUGGAUAUACGUUGAAAAGUGUUCCAAUGAGCUGUGGGUAGGGGUGAAAGGCUAAUCAAACUUGGAGAUAGCUCGUACUCCCCGAAAUGCAUUUAGGUGCAGCCUGUGGAGUUUCUUACGUGAGGUAGAGCGACUGAUUGGAUGCGAGGCUUUCACCGGCUAUCAAGUCCAGACAAACUCCGAAUGCACGUUAAGUAAUAUCCACGGAGUGAGGGCAUGGGUGCUAAGGUCCAUGUCCGAGAGGAGAAGAAUCCAGACCAUCGGCUAAGGUCCCGAAAUAAUAGCUAAGUUGACCAAACGAAGUCAGAGUGCGAAGACAGCUAGGAUGUUGGCUUGGAAGCAGCCAUUCAUUUAAAGAGUGCGUAACAGCUCACUAGUCGAGUGCUUUGGCGUGGAUAAUAAUCGGGCAUAAGCUAUUUACCGAAGCUGUGGGAUGUGUAAACAUCGGUAGGGGAGCAUUCCAGCGACGCUGAAGGUGAGAGGACAACUCUUGCUGGAGUUUCUGGAAAAGCAAAUGUAGGUAUAAGUAACGAUAAAGGAGGUGAGAAACCUCCUCGCCGAAAGACUAAGGUUUCCUGAUCAACGCUAAUCGGAUCAGGGUUAGUCGGGGCCUAAGGGGCAGCCGAAGGGCGGACCCGAUGGAAGAACCGGUUAAUAUUCCGGUACUAAUUAUGUGAGCGAUGUGGAGACGGAGAUGUGACGGUCCUGCCAACUGACGGAAUAGUUGGUUGAAGGGUGUAGGAGUUGAUCUGAGUAGGCAAAUCCGCUCGGAGAUCCGAACCUGACAGUACUCUGAGUGCUUGCACAAGGAGAUAUGGACAACUGUAACGGUGCUCCCAAGAAAAUCCGCUAAGCAUAUUGCAUGAUUACCCGUACCAUAAACCGACACAGGUGGUUGGGUUGAGUAUACUAAGGCGCUCGAGUGAUUCGCGGUUAAGGAACUAGGCAAAAUAGUCCUGUAACUUCGGAAUAAAGGACGCUCACAGUGAAGGCUGUGAGCCGCAGAGAAUAGGCCCAGGCGACUGUUUAACAAAAACACAUGGCUAUGCUAAAUCGAAAGAUACUGUAUAUAGCCUGACACCUGCCCGGUGCUGGAAGGUUAAGAGGAGAUGUCAUCGCAAGAGAAGCAUUGAAUUGAAGCCCCAGUAAACGGCGGCCGUAACUAUAACGGUCCUAAGGUAGCGAAAUUCCUUGUCGGGUAAGUUCCGACCUGCACGAAUGGUGUAACGAUCUGGGUACUGUCUCAACCGCGAGCUCGGUGAAAUUGUAGUAUCGGUGAAGAUGCCGAUUACCCGCAACGGGACGAAAAGACCCCGUGAACCUUUACUAUAGCUUUGCAUUGGAUUUGGGUAACAAAUGUGUAGGAUAGGCCGGAGACUAAGAAGCGGGUACGCCAGUAUUCGUGGAGUCGCCGUUGAAAUACGGCCCUUUUGUUAUUUGGGUUCUAACUCGCGGAUGCGAGGACAUUGCAUGGUGGGUAGUUUGACUGGGGUGGUCGCCUCCAAAAGAGUAACGGAGGCUUCUAAAGGU
rnacentral:rRNA from 1 species